rfam:Schistosoma rodhaini strain Burundi genome assembly, scaffold: SROB_scaffold0002800
AUCCAGCUGACGAGUCCCAAAUAGGACGAAGGGGCGGGCGUCCUGGAU